rnacentral:rRNA from 1 species
UGCGUAGGCGGUUUGGCAAGUUGGUAGCGUAAUUCCGGGGCUCAACUUCGGAACUACUACCAAAACUGCCAGGCUUGAGUGCGGCAGGGGUAUGUGGAAUUCCUAGCGUAGCGGUGGAAUGCGUAGAUAUUAGGAGGAACACCAGAGGCGAAAGCGACAUACUGGGCCGUAACUGACGCUGAGGCACGAAAGCGUGGGGAGCAAACA